CCAUGUGGCCAUACCGGCUUGUAAAAGCCUGAUCUCGUCAGAUCUCAGAAGCUAAGCAGGCUGGGCCUGGGUAGUACUUGGAUGGGAGACCGCUAGGGAAUUCCAGGUGCCACAGGGG